rnacentral:rRNA from 1 species
UAAAAACCCCGACUUCGGAAGGGGUGUAUUUAUUAGAUACAAAACCAAUGCCCUUCGGGGCUCUUUGGUGAUUCAUGAUAACUAUACGAAUCGCACGGCCUUGCGCCGGCGAUGGUUCAUUCAAAUUUCUUCCCUAUCAACUUUCGAUGUUUGGGUAUUGGCCAAACAUGGUUGCAACGGGUAACGGAGGGUUAAGGCUCGACCCCGGAGAAGGAGCCUGAGAAACGGCUACUACAACCAAGGAAGGCAGCAGGCGCGCAAAUUACCCAAUCCCGACUCGGGGAGGUAGUGACAAUAAAUACUGAUACAGGGCCCUUUCGGGCCUUGUAAUUGGAAUGAGUACAAUUUAAAUCCCUUAACGAGGAACAAUUGGAGGGCAAGUCUGGUGCCAGCAGCCGCGGUAAUUCCAGCUCCAAUAGCGUAUAUUAAAGUUGUUGUGGUUAAAAAGCUCGUAGUUGAACCUUGGGCCUGGCUGGCCGGUCCGCCUCACCGCGUGCACUGGUCCGGCCGGGCCUUUCCCUCUGUGGAACCCCAUACCCUUCACUGGGCGUGGCGGGGGAAAACAGGACAUCUACU